rnacentral:rRNA from 1 species
CCUACGGGGGGCUGCAGUGGGGAAUAUUGGACAAUGGGGGGAACCCUGAUCCAGCCAUGCCGCGUGUGUGAAGAAGGCCCUCGGGUUGUAAAGCACUUUCAGUGAGGAAGAACGCCUGGUGGUUAAUACCCAUCAGGAAAGACAUCACUCACAGAAGAAGCACCGGCUAACUCCGUGCCAGCAGCCGCGGUAAUACGGAGGGUGCGAGCGUUAAUCGGAAUUACUGGGCGUAAAGCGCGCGUAGGUGGCUUGAUAAGCCGGUUGUGAAAGCCCCGGGCUCAACCUGGGAACGGCAUCCGGAACUGUCAAGCUAGAGUGCAGGAGAGGAAGGUAGAAUUCCCGGUGUAGCGGUGAAAUGCGUAGAGAUCGGGAGGAAUAGCAGUGGCGAAGGCGGCCUUCUGGACUGACACUGACACUGAGGUGCGAAAGCGUGGGUAGCAAACAGGAUUAGAUACCCCAGUAGUC